AGAGUUUGAUCAUGGCUCAGGAUGAACGCUGGCGGCGUGCCUAAUACAUGCAAGUCGAACGAGAUGCUUUUGUAGCAAUACGAGAGUAUUCUAGUGGCGAACGGGUGAGUAACGCGUUGGUGACCUACCCCAAAGUGUGGGAUAACAGUCCGAAAGGAUUGCUAAUACCGCAUGUGGUCUUCGGAUUUAGAAACUGAUGACUAAAGGAGCAAUUCGCUUUGGGAGGGACCUGCGUCCCAUCAGCUAGUUGGUGAGGUAAUGGCUCACCAAGGCGACGACGGGUAGGGGACCUGAGAGGGUGGCCCCCCACAAUGGAACUGAAACACGGUCCAUACACCUACGGGUGGCAGCAGUAGGGAAUAUUGCUCAAUGGGCGAAAGCCUGAAGCAGCAACGCCGCGUGUGCGAUGAAGGCCUUCGGGUCGUAAACCACUGUCAGUGGGAAAGAAGGGCAUCGGCGCGAUAACCGCCGGUGUUUGACGGUACCUGCAGAGGAAGCCCCGGCCAACUCUGUGCCAGCAGCCGCGGUAAUAC
rnacentral:rRNA from 1 species